rnacentral:lncRNA from 1 species
UAAAUUCAUUUUUAUUUCCAACAUCUCAGGAUACAGACAUAGGGCUAUCUUAUUCCAAGAAGUAUUAUAUCCCCACAAACAUCUUUUUCCAGUUUAAACAAAAACAAAAACAAAACAAAAACAAAAAAACCACUGAUUCUCUCCUCUCUUCUGAAUCUACCACUUUCUAAAAUAAACUGUCCAUUUUGCUCUGUCACUCCACACUAAUAGCUUCACCUUACAUCUGACUUAUUUUCAUGAAAAGUUUUCAGUGUUUUCUCUGAUGAUUCGAUUAUUCACUCCACGCCCCCACAAACCUAUUUAUAAUUUUGUAGCCCUAUCAAAGUCAGUUUCACUGCUCAUUCCAGAUAGGCUCUGAGCCAAUAUAUUGCCAAUAACACUCACUCUUGUGCUAAGUUAAAAUACACAGUGCAACUUGCCAAGUUUCCUUAUUUGGCAAGAAGGCCCCUUAGUUCCCAAGAUCUUUGACCAUCCAUUUUUAGAUCCAAGUCCGAGUGUUUAAUAUUUGGAUUUUUUUUUCUCUCUUUACUGUGUCCUUAUAUAUUCCCUAAAAGAUUAAGAAAAACGGAUCAAUCAUCUAUUUGCUUUUUUAGACAACGGAGAAAGUCCUUGCAAUUGCAUCAUGGUCAUUUACUCUGGAAUUAUUAUCACUAAAUUUUUUUAUUUAAACAAUAUUUUGUAGUUAAAAAACUCCCCAAAUAAUCUCAAAAAGUUAUAGUAGGAAUUAAAUUGUGAUAGAUUAAAAUAAACAGUGCAGUGGUCCAAAAGACCAUUUUUCUUUAUCUUAAUUCUGUUUUCCCAAACUAAAUUCGUAUUCAUUUACAAUCUCCUAAAUCUCUCACUAUAGUAGCAGGAAUUUAAAACAAAGACUCUACAAAUGACCAUAACCAUAAUUAAAAUGCAGCCAUCACUUUUUUUUUUUUUUUUUUUUGGAAAAUUGAAAAACAAGUGAAAUUUCACUGUGGAGAUAGGCCUACUACAAAGAGGACAUUAACUAGCCUUGAAUCACUUGUUUAUUUUUGUCUUUAAACGUGUUUGGAGGUUUGGAUCCACUAAAUCCUAGCUGUUCAUUUCAACGAAGGUCGAGGAAGCAAGAAGGCUCUUCCAAAACAGCUUCGGGGUUAAAGAAGGAGUACAGUUUUCAACAAUCUUAAGUCAAACAUCCUCAAAUUCACUCUGCAAUCGGAUGUCAUCUAGCCAGUCCUGAAUUAAAGUUUUCUGAAAGCUGUCAUGGGCAAGCGAGGCCAGACGAGGCGACGGCCUGGUGUUCAUUGUUCCUGCUGGUUAUUCGCAUGGCCUAAUUGUGUGAGGAAAACAGAAUGAAGGAAAAUGGAUGGGAAGCAACACCGCUCGCGGUCGAGUUCUUAGAAAAGCAGAAGUUCGUCGUCCCUCCUCGCACGCACAGCGAGUGCUGGGAAGUGGCCUGCACCCUACCCUGAUUUGGGGGCCUCGCGGUUCGCCUCCCGACAGUGCCCC